rnacentral:rRNA from 1 species
GACGUAGGGUGCAAGCGUUUGUCCGGAUUUACUGGGCGUAAAGAGCGCGUAGGCGGCUCGUUAAGUGUGAAGCUAAAUCUCUUGGCUCAACCAAGAAACUAUUUCGCAUACUGGCGGGCUGGAGUGAUGCAGAGGUGGAUAGAAUUCCCGGUGUAGCGGUGAAAUGCGUUUGAUAUCGGGAGGAAUACCCGUGGCGAAGGCGGUCCACUGGGCCUUACCUGACGCUGAGGAGCGAAAGCGUGGGGAGCAAACAGG